UUGAAUCAUGGAAGAUCUCAGUAGUAACUCCUAAGUCAAUCAAUCAAAGCAACUCAUAACCUUCUAGAUUAUUUACUCAUCCUCAAUUUUUCCAAACUCCUUCAAUUUAAAACCCUGAUAAGAACUGAAGAUGAAGCUGGGGCAAAUUUAUUUAAGAAGAAAACUAAGAUGAAAGUCUGGAGAAUGGAUGUAUCCAACAUAUUGGAUUUCCUCCCCAUUCUGAGAGACGAGUCUCCUAGUAUUGUUUCGCUGCAACAUUUUGAGUGACUCAGAACUGUCUGACUAGAAAAUUCUGUCUAUUAAAGAGAAUAAGUAUAAACUCAGAGAUUGCCUGUCUGUAUCUAUCUUAGGAUAACUGGCUAUGUAUUAACUUCAGUUUGCUCUCCUACUGCUGAAACAAAAAUAUGACAAAUAAACUUGCCAAACACCAUCCUUACUAUCAUUUGGAGACAGGAAGUAUGCGCAUAUGAGAGAGAAAUAAACCACAGCAUUUCCUCUUGGCAUGC